UGACAGGAAUCUGCUGCAGUUCCCGGCCUGGCCUUUCAGAAGAGUUUAUACCAAGCAAUUUUCCUGAGAGGAACAGACUAUUGCACCUCAUUGCUCUGUGCUGGCAUCAGGAUCCAGCUCACAGACCACGGACUGCAGAAUGUGUAGAUCUUCUAAAUGGAAUUUUGACUAGUAUAAAUAAGGAGGCAAUUUCCACAGCAAUCUACAGUCUGAUGGAUGCAAAGGAGAGAGCGCUUGAUGCUUGCAAAGGCUCAGCCACGUACACCCUGCAGACAGGCACCUGCAACUCAGAGAUCAUCUGUCCACCAAAAAACAACCGCUUAAUCAGCAAGAAAAUUCCUUUCAUAGUGCCAAGCUCAACUGGCCUACUUGAUAGCAGUGGAAAUAAUGCAGGAAGAGAGAAUAUUCUUGAGAUGGGUCUGUCAAAUACUAUCCCACAGAAUGCAAAAACAAGAAAAGAUCAUCCAGGCUCUGAGAGUAGAAAACCACACUUGUUUAGGAAGAUUCCUUUAUGUGGUUCAGCUGCAGACACACAAAGCAGUCAGGAUGUGGCCCCACUGCUGGCUCUCCAGCACAGCCCACAGCCAGUGCACCCUGGACAAGCAGUGACAGGUGAGGCACCACUCCCAGCUUGAGCUGGUAAUAUUUGCCUUGGCCAGAUCUUAGCGAU
rnacentral:lncRNA from 1 species